UAUUUCAUCUAUAUCCCAAUUCGUGGACGGGCCAACGGUUUUAGUUGAGCCAAAGGCUUUCACCAGUUAAUAGCACAAAAUUGUGUCUUUCCCCAGCGGACAAAAAACCAAGCAAAUUAAAUCAAGAUGAGCGAAGCCCGCAACUUGUUCACCACCUUUGGCAUCCUGGCCAUCCUGCUUUUCUUCCUCUACCUCAUCUAUGCCGUAUUGUAAAAUGUUUCCGGCAAGUAGAUGGUCCUUAGGGCAGGAUCAAAGCCAGCAGCCAAAUCGGAAUCAAUCAAAAU